rnacentral:misc_RNA from 1 species
GAAAUGCGAUAAGUAAUGUGAAUUGCAGAAUUCAGUGAAUCAUCGAAUCUUUGAACGCACAUUGCGCCCGGCAGUAAUCUGCCGGGCAUGCCUGUCCGAGCGUCAUUUCUGCCCUCGAGCGCGGUUAGCCCUACGGAGCCAGCCGCCGCCCGGUGUUGGGGCGCUACGAGGAGCCACGUGCUUUCCCCGUAGGCCCCGAAAUGUAGUGGCGGUCACGUCGCGGCGCCCCCUGCGUAGUAGACUUACAACUCGCAUAGGGACCCGGCGGAGGCCAGCCGUCAAGCCCUCUUUUGAUGGUUUGACCUCGGAUCAGGUAGGGUUACCCGCUGAACUUAA